rnacentral:lncRNA from 1 species
CAUAAUAGUGUGAAAUGAAGAUUCGGCUCCAUCUUCUUCAAGAAUAAUGGCGUAACAAGAAUUCUUGAAUAGCGAAAAUCAGUUCAGAUAUCAAAUAAAAAUAAAUAAAAAAUUAUGAAAUCGAUUUAAACCGAAGAUUUACAUCCAAAGCGAAAAAAUUAGACAUCGGUAGACCAAAAAAAUAAAAUAUUCAAAUACUUCCCUUUACUGGGAUUAGAGUAGAAAAAGUUCAUUUAUUUUGAAAUUUUAUUUCGUCUACUAUUUCAACUAUUGAAAUAUCAAUUAAAAUCACUCGAAAAUAAGUCAAGAGUAUUAAAUUCGACAUCCCAAUAGUCAAACGAAAAAUGUAUUAUGAAUAGUAAAUUAAAUACAAAGUCUGCAUUCACAGUAUUACGCAUAUGUUGCAAAAUUGCAACAUCAAAUACUAUAUAGUAUAUGUUUUAAAGGCAAUAAAUUUUAUUCCAUUUUGGUGGAUUUUAUUUCUUUACUUUGCGCAAAUUUCAAACGAUUUCCCAUCUCGAGAGAGAUGAAUCGUAUUUAAGUAAGUUAAUUUGUGGAGAAAAAAAAAAUUGGUAAAAAAAGAGUGACGUUCACGCAAACUUUCUUGGAAUUAAUGAUAUAUAUUUAAAAUAUUUCCAUAAAAUAUAAAUAAAAAAAGCCAACCAAAACCUUAAACCUGGCACAUGAUUUUACACAUGUAAAGGUGGUAUGAGCGGCAGCCAAUGCAUGGCGGCAUACUCCAACUUCACUCGAAAUCAUCACUUUUUUCAAUAAUCUCUUUUAUUUUUGAUUUUGGUUGCAAUGUUCUAGAUUCAAUUUUGGUGGAGGAGCAGUUGUGAUAGAGGUAAAUUCAUGAACUGGGUUUUUUCUCAUAGCUUUUUUUUGUUUUUCUUUUUGGGUUUUUGAGAUUUUAUGUUUUUUUUAUUAGUUUUGUUGGUAUGAAAGUUGGUUCAAGUCACCAUUUUCUUGUUUUCUUGAAUCUGCUGAAAAUUUUGUUUGUUACUUCUUCGUUUGCUGUUUUUGUGGCUUUGUUUCUUACUUUUUCUUAUUCUUCUGCAUUUGCCAAUUUGAGGAAAAUAUAGAUGUAAAUAAAUUCAACUUCUGUUCUUGAAUCUGAUGUUUCAUUUCAUGUAAUUCUUGAAAUUUGUGAUUCAAACUAUUUGAUAUGACUUUAUGAAUAUUAUACAUAAUUCUGUAUAAAAUAAAAAAACUGAGAUAAUUAUGAAGAUUGAAUAUAGCUUAUUAGAUUGAUUGAUUGAUUGUCUUCAUUGAGCCUUUGGAUGAUGCAUCUUUUAUUUUAUCUUCAAAAGUUGAUUUUUAUUUUGUUUUUUGUUGCAAGAAGUAUAUGAUAUUAAAUAGGCAUUUUUGGACUGAUUGCUGAAUUUCUUCUUGAAGAAGAUUGAAUUUUAGUUGAACUACAAUUGAUCUACUCUGCUGCAUUGUUGUUAAUUCUUGUCUGUUUAGAAGAGUUUUUCUUGAUUAUGCUGUUUUAUAUGAUUGUGAUUGCAAUGUAUUGAAUUUUGAUGCCUAGUUUCCUCUCAAUGUACAUAUAGAUAUCGAGAUAUUGCCCGUGGACUGCCCUAGUCGCGUUGCAGAUUGCUCGAGACCAGUUCUGCAUCGCGAUCUUGAGUUAUGGGGUCGGAUCUUAGUAGUAAAUGUCAAGUAGAGUCUAGGAGAGUCGUGUGGAUAGUAGCUCUGGUGCUUGCCUCGGUCUUAGUAGUUCAAUUCUUCGACAUACCAUAUGGAGGCCGUGUGCUGUCGUUGUUCCCUAUGGGGACGUCUCAGUUCAACUCGUCUGGUGUUGGAUAUGAUGGGCAGCAGUCGAACCUCAUGAAUCACUCGUUGC